UAUGCAGAGAUAUGUGUGUAUCGGAGUUGUGCUUUAAAUGCAUUUUAUCCGAAAGAGUUAUCUGCGAAACUGAUUUUUGGUGAAGGUGGGCAGUUGAGUUUCAUCAUAAAUCUAUUGAUUUAUCAACAAUCAUUUUCUCCACAUUU